GGGUUGUGAGGUUAAGCGACUAAGCGUACACGGUGGAUGCCCUGGCAGUCAGAGGCGAUGAAGGACGUGCUAAUCUGCGAUAAGCGUCGGUGAGGUGAUAUGAACCGUUAUAACCGGCGAUUUCCGAAUGGGGAAACCCAGUGUGUUUCGACACACUAUCAUUAACUGAAUCCAUAGGUUAAUGAGGCGAACCGGGGGAACUGAAACAUCUAAGUACCCCGAGGAAAAGAAAUCAACCGAGAUUCCCCCAGUAGCGGCGAGCGAACGGGGAGGAGCCCAGAGCCUGAAUCAGUGUGUGUGUUAGUGGAAGCGUCUGGAAAGGCGCGCGAUACAGGGUGACAGCCCCGUACACAAAAAUGCACAUAUUGUGAGCUCGAUGAGUAGGGCGGGACACGUGGUAUCCUGUCUGAAUAUGGGGGGACCAUCCUCCAAGGCUAAAUACUCCUGACUGACCGAUAGUGAACCAGUACCGUGAGGGAAAGGCGAAAAGAACCCCGGCGAGGGGAGUGAAAAAAGAACCUGAAACCGUGUACGUACAAGCAGUGGGAGCCUCUUAAUGGGGUGACUGCGUACCUUUGUAUAAUGGGUCAGCGACUUAUAUUCUGUAGCAAGGUUAACCGAAUAGGGGAGCCGAAGGGAAACCGAGUCUUAACUGGGCGCUAAGUUGCAGGGUAUAGACCCGAAACCCGGUGAUCUAGCCAUGGGCAGGUUGAAGGUUGGGUAACACUAACUGGAGGACCGAACCGACUAAUGUUGAAAAAUUAGCGGAUGACUUGUGGCUGGGGGUGAAAGGCCAAUCAAACCGGGAGAUAGCUGGUUCUCCCCGAAAGCUAUUUAGGUAGCGCCUCGUGAAUUCAUCUCCGGGGGUAGAGCACUGUUUCGGCAAGGGGGUCAUCCCGACUUACCAACCCGAUGCAAACUGCGAAUACCGGAGAAUGUUAUCACGGGAGACACACGGCGGGUGCUAACGUCCGUCGUGAAGAGGGAAACAACCCAGACCGCCAGCUAAGGUCCCAAAAGUCAUGGUUAAGUGGGAAACGAUGUGGGAAGGCCCAGACAGCCAGGAUGUUGGCUUAGAAGCAGCCAUCAUUUAAAGAAAGCGUAAUAGCUCACUGGUCGAGUCGGCCUGCGCGGAAGAUGUAACGGGGCUAAACCAUGCACCGAAGCUGCGGCAGCGACACUAUGUGUUGUUGGGUAGGGGAGCGUUCUGUAAGCCUGUGAAGGUGGCCUGUGAGGGUUGCUGGAGGUAUCAGAAGUGCGAAUGCUGACAUAAGUAACGAUAAAGCGGGUGAAAAGCCCGCUCGCCGGAAGACCAAGGGUUCCUGUCCAACGUUAAUCGGGGCAGGGUGAGUCGACCCCUAAGGCGAGGCCGAAAGGCGUAGUCGAUGGGAAACAGGUUAAUAUUCCUGUACUUGGUGUUACUGCGAAGGGGGGACGGAGAAGGCUAUGUUGGCCGGGCGACGGUUGUCCCGGUUUAAGCGUGUAGGCUGGUUUUCCGGUGCAAAUCCGGAAAACCAAGGCUGAGGCGUGAUGACGAGGCACUACGGUGCUGAAGCGACAAAUGCCCUGCUUCCGCGGAAAAGCCUCUAAGCAUCAGGUAACAUCAAAUCGUACCCCAAACCGACACAGGUGGUCAGGUAGAGAAUACCAAGGCGCUUGAGAGAACUCGGGUGAAGGAACUAGGCAAAAUGGUGCCGUAACUUCGGGAGAAGGCACGCUGAUAUGUAGGUGAAGCGACUUGCUCGUGGAGCUGAAAUCAGUCGAAGAUACCAGCUGGCUGCAACUGUUUAUUAAAAACACAGCACUGUGCAAACACGAAAGUGGACGUAUACGGUGUGACGCCUGCCCGGUGCCGGAAGGUUAAUUGAUGGGGUUAGCGGUAACGCGAAGCUCUUGAUCGAAGCCCCGGUAAACGGCGGCCGUAACUAUAACGGUCCUAAGGUAGCGAAAUUCCUUGUCGGGUAAGUUCCGACCUGCACGAAUGGCGUAAUGAUGGCCAGGCUGUCUCCACCCGAGACUCAGUGAAAUUGAACUCGCUGUGAAGAUGCAGUGUACCCGCGGCAAGACGGAAAGACCCCGUGAACCUUUACUAUAGCUUGACACUGAACAUUGAGCCUUGAUGUGUAGGAUAGGUGGGAGGCUUUGAAGUGUGGACGCCAGUCUGCAUGGAGCCGACCUUGAAAUACCACCCUUUAAUGUUUGAUGUUCUAACGUUGGCCCGUAAUCCGGGUUGCGGACAGUGUCUGGUGGGUAGUUUGAUCAGGGCGGUCUCCUCCUAAAGAGUAACGGAGGAGCACGAAGGUUGGCUAAUCCUGGUCGGACAUCAGGAGGUUAGUGCAAUGGCAUAAGCCAGCUUGACUGCGAGCGUGACGGCGCGAGCAGGUGCGAAAGCAGGUCAUAGUGAUCCGGUGGUUCUGAAUGGAAGGGCCAUCGCUCAACGGAUAAAAGGUACUCCGGGGAUAACAGGCUGAUACCGCCCAAGAGUUCAUAUCGACGGCGGUGUUUGGCACCUCGAUGUCGGCUCAUCACAUCCUGGGGCUGAAGUAGGUCCCAAGGGUAUGGCUGUUCGCCAUUUAAAGUGGUACGCGAGCUGGGUUUAGAACGUCGUGAGACAGUUCGGUCCCUAUCUGCCGUGGGCGCUGGAGAACUGAGGGGGCUGCUCCUAGUACGAGAGGACCGGAGUGGACGCAUCACUGGUGUUCGGGUUGUCAUGCCAAUGGCACUGCCCGGUAGCUAAAUGCGGAAGAGAUAAGUGCUGAAAGCAUCUAAGCACGAAACUUGCCCCGAGAUGAGUUCUCCCUGACUCCUUGAGAGUCCUGAAGGAACGUUGAAGACGACGACGUUGAUAGGCCGGGUGUGUAAGCGCAGCGAUGCGUUGAGCUAACCGGUACUAAUGAACCGUGAGGCUUAACCUUACAACGCCGAAG
rnacentral:rRNA from 1 species